CGGCCGCAGGAAACUCUGGGUAGGAGAGUGGGUUCAUCUCCUAAAUAACUGACAAUACAAUUUGGCGUCACGUUAAUUGUUCCAAUGACAUUGUUUACGUCACAAUUUUAGGAGACAUGACGUCGCUUAGUUACGCCUAAACGACGACUGGCUUUAUACAUAUGGCGGACGUUAGGUGAAGACUUUACGAAGUGCACCUGUUCUGACGCUAUGCGACAUACUGAAUCGUGUCUUAUGAACAGGGGACAUCACUCCUACAGUCUUAAUUAACGACGUGGUCACGUGGCCUAUUGAAUGCUACGAUCCGAGUUUGAUCGUAUCGCAACGAUCCUUGAAUUUUCAACAGUGAUUAUUAGACUUCAGUACUCAAAUAUCUUCGCGAACAACAUCCUUGCUUUUGGACCAAACCAACCCCAAAUAAAACAAACGUCACGUAAAAAAACAAAGGAAGUUUUAAGAAAACAAAAAUGUACAGCGUUCAUGAGUCGCUCGAGAACGGCCGAGAACUGGAUCGGGCAAGGAAAAUAGCAACCCCUAUGGAAACGAAUAUGUCGGAGUUACUGGAAGACCUAUUGUCCAACCCAUCAUCCCAGUCUUCCUCAGAAACAAACACAUCUGGUAUCGGCUCGUUCAGCGAGAUCAGUCUAACCAGCUCGAGGUCUGUGAGCUGUCACUCUUUCCAGAUGCUUGUCCCAGAAGUUCCGCUGACGUCACCGCCACCAAAACGGAAGUCUUCUGCUUCCCAACUUCUCUCCCGUCUGCUAGCUCUGUUUCGAUGGAUGAGCAACAGACGACAGUCCGAUUCAAAGAAUCGAAUUCCUGGUGUGUAACGUUUUUAUGUCAUGAGUAUGGACAGGACAUUUCGACGAUGAGACUUUCAAAAAGUGAGCUGAAAUUUGUUUGAAAUAUUUCAUUAAAUGUAUAUAUGUAUCUUCUUGCUUCAAAACAAUGACAAUAAAUAUUAUUUGACGAU